UACAGAGGGGGCAAGCGUUGUUCGGAAUUACUGGGCGUAAAGGGCGCGUAGGCGGCCCGCUAAGUCGAACGUGAAAUCCCCGAGCUCAACUCGGGAACUGCGUCCGAUACUGGUGGGCUUGAAUCCGGGAGAGGGAUGUGGAAUUCCCGGUGUAGCGGUGAAAUGCGUAGAUAUCGGGAGGAACAUCAGUGGCGAAGGCGGCUACCUGGCCCAAUACUGACACUCAGGUGCGACAGCGUGGGGAGCAAACAGG
rnacentral:rRNA from 1 species